GAUGAACGCUGGCGGCGUGCCUAAUACAUGCAAGUCGAGCGAACGGACGAGAAGCUUGCUUCUCUGAUGUUAGCGGCGGACGGGUGAGUAACACGUGGAUAACCUACUUAUAAGACUGGGAUAACUUCGGGAAACCGGAGCUAAUACCGGAUAAUAUUUUGAACCGCAUGGUUCAAAAGUGAAAGACGGUCUUGCUGUCACUUAUAGAUGGAUCCGCGCUGCAUUAGCUAGUUGGUAAGGUAACGGCUUACCAAGGCAACGAUGCAUAGCCGACCUGAGAGGGUGAUCGGCCACACUGGAACUGAGACACGGUCCAGACUCCUACGGGAGGCAGCAGUGGGGAAUCUUCCGCAAUGGGCGAAAGCCUGACGGAGCAACGCCGCGUGAGUGAUGAAGGUCUUCGGAUCGUAAAACUCUGUUAUUAGGGAAGAACAUAUGUGUAAGUAACUGUGCACAUCUUGACGGUACCUAAUCAGAAAGCCACGGCUAACUACGUG
rnacentral:rRNA from 1 species